rnacentral:rRNA from 1 species
GAAGCGGUAAAAGCUCAAAUUUGAAAUCUGGUACUUUCAGUGCCCGAGUUGUAAUUUGUAGAAUUUGUCUUUGAUUAGGUCCUUGUCUAUGUUCCUUGGAACAGGACGUCAUAGAGGGUGAGAAUCCCGUUUGGCGAGGAUACCUUUUCUCUGUAAGACUUUUUCGAAGAGUCGAGUUGUUUGGGAAUGCAGCUCAAAGUGGGUGGUAAAUUCCAUCUAAAGCUAAAUAUUGGCGAGAGACCGAUAGCGAACAAGUACAGUGAUGGAAAGAUGAAAAGAACUUUGAAAAGAGAGUGAAAAAGUACGUGAAAUUGUUGAAAGGGAAGGGCAUUUGAUCAGACAUGGUGUUUUUUGCAUGCACUCGCCUCUCGUGGGCUUGGGCCUCUCAAAAAUUUCACUGGGCCAACAUCAGUUCUGGCAGCAGGAUAAAUCAUUAAGAAUGUAGCUACCUCGGUAGUGUUAUAGCUUAUUGGAAUACUGCUAGCUGGGAUUGAGGACUGCGCUUCGGCAAGGAUGUUGGCAUAAUGGUUAAAUGCCGC